ensembl:lincRNA uncharacterized LOC102015696
GGGGUGGUCAGCAAGUGGGGCUCUCCACUGAAUACAGUUCAAGACCUAGGGACACGCAGGGCAGAGUGAUCCACAGAGACACAUGGACCAAUUCCAAUACAGGGGUGGUGGAGCUUGUAGGAAAAAAGAAGCUUGAGACAUUAUAGACUGUCAGAACGGCUGCACCUUGAAUGCCUGUGUUGUUGGACAUCACAAGGCCCCCUUACCCACGAAGCUUUCAGGCCAUUCACAAAAGAGUGACCGAUAGCCGAGAAGGGCGGAUAUGGAGUGGUUGCAGACUGAAAUGAGCUGCGCCUGCUGCUGGCUUCCUACCAAAAGGAGUGCUCUUAGAAACAAGCCCACUCUGCUUAUCAUGCUGUGGAGGGCACACUACUUCAUCGCGGCGGGGAGAUUGGGCCGGGACGCCCACCCCAUUGCCCAACAUUUCAUACCGGCCAAGGGAAGGAGAUGGAGGCCCAGAGAAGUGGAAGGUGAUUCAGCCAGAAGUGCAGAACUAAGAAUCACAGCAAGUGUGUCAUUCUCUAAAAAAUAAAAUAAAAUGAGCACAU